GGUUAAGCGACUAAGCGUACACGGUGGAUGCCCUGGCAGUCAGAGGCGAUGAAGGACGUGCUAAUCUGCGAUAAGCGUCGGUAAGGUGAUAUGAACCGUUAUAACCGGCGAUUUCCGAAUGGGGAAACCCAGUGUGUUUCGACACACUAUCAUUAACUGAAUCCAUAGGUUAAUGAGGCGAACCGGGGGAACUGAAACAUCUAAGUACCCCGAGGAAAAGAAAUCAACCGAGAUUCCCCCAGUAGCGGCGAGCGAACGGGGAGGAGCCCAGAGCCUGAAUCAGUGUGUGUGUUAGUGGAAGCGUCUGGAAAGGCGCGCGAUACAGGGUGACAGCCCCGUACACAAAAAUGCACAUACUGUGAGCUCGAUGAGUAGGGCGGGACACGUGGUAUCCUGUCUGAAUAUGGGGGGACCAUCCUCCAAGGCUAAAUACUCCUGACUGACCGAUAGUGAACCAGUACCGUGAGGGAAAGGCGAAAAGAACCCCGGCGAGGGGAGUGAAAAAGAACCUGAAACCGUGUACGUACAAGCAGUGGGAGCCUCUUUUAUGGGGUGACUGCGUACCUUUUGUAUAAUGGGUCAGCGACUUAUAUUCUGUAGCAAGGUUAACCGAAUAGGGGAGCCGAAGGGAAACCGAGUCUUAACUGGGCGUUAAGUUGCAGGGUAUAGACCCGAAACCCGGUGAUCUAGCCAUGGGCAGGUUGAAGGUUGGGUAACACUAACUGGAGGACCGAACCGACUAAUGUUGAAAAAUUAGCGGAUGACUUGUGGCUGGGGGUGAAAGGCCAAUCAAACCGGGAGAUAGCUGGUUCUCCCCGAAAGCUAUUUAGGUAGCGCCUCGUGAAUUCAUCUCCGGGGGUAGAGCACUGUUUCGGCAAGGGGGUCAUCCCGACUUACCAACCCGAUGCAAACUGCGAAUACCGGAGAAUGUUAUCACGGGAGACACACGGCGGGUGCUAACGUCCGUCGUGAAGAGGGAAACAACCCAGACCGCCAGCUAAGGUCCCAAAGUCAUGGUUAAGUGGGAAACGAUGUGGGAAGGCCCAGACAGCCAGGAUGUUGGCUUAGAAGCAGCCAUCAUUUAAAGAAAGCGUAAUAGCUCACUGGUCGAGUCGGCCUGCGCGGAAGAUGUAACGGGGCUAAACCAUGCACCGAAGCUGCGGCAGCGACACUAUGUGUUGUUGGGUAGGGGAGCGUUCUGUAAGCCUGUGAAGGUGUACUGUGAGGUAUGCUGGAGGUAUCAGAAGUGCGAAUGCUGACAUAAGUAACGAUAAAGCGGGUGAAAAGCCCGCUCGCCGGAAGACCAAGGGUUCCUGUCCAACGUUAAUCGGGGCAGGGUGAGUCGACCCCUAAGGCGAGGCCGAAAGGCGUAGUCGAUGGGAAACAGGUUAAUAUUCCUGUACUUGGUGUUACUGCGAAGGGGGGACGGAGAAGGCUAUGUUGGCCGGGCGACGGUUGUCCCGGUUUAAGCGUGUAGGCUGGUUUUCCAGGCAAAUCCGGAAAAUCAAGGCUGAGGCGUGAUGACGAGGCACUACGGUGCUGAAGCAACAAAUGCCCUGCUUCCAGGAAAAGCCUCUAAGCAUCAGGUAACAUCAAAUCGUACCCCAAACCGACACAGGUGGUCAGGUAGAGAAUACCAAGGCGCUUGAGAGAACUCGGGUGAAGGAACUAGGCAAAAUGGUGCCGUAACUUCGGGAGAAGGCACGCUGAUAUGUAGGUGAAGUCCCUCGCGGAUGGAGCUGAAAUCAGUCGAAGAUACCAGCUGGCUGCAACUGUUUAUUAAAAACACAGCACUGUGCAAACACGAAAGUGGACGUAUACGGUGUGACGCCUGCCCGGUGCCGGAAGGUUAAUUGAUGGGGUCAGCGCAAGCGAAGCUCUUGAUCGAAGCCCCGGUAAACGGCGGCCGUAACUAUAACGGUCCUAAGGUAGCGAAAUUCCUUGUCGGGUAAGUUCCGACCUGCACGAAUGGCGUAAUGAUGGCCAGGCUGUCUCCACCCGAGACUCAGUGAAAUUGAACUCGCUGUGAAGAUGCAGUGUACCCGCGGCAAGACGGAAAGACCCCGUGAACCUUUACUAUAGCUUGACACUGAACAUUGAGCCUUGAUGUGUAGGAUAGGUGGGAGGCUUAGAAGUGUGGACGCCAGUCUGCAUGGAGCCGACCUUGAAAUACCACCCUUUAAUGUUUGAUGUUCUAACGUUGACCCGUGAUCCGGGUUGCGGACAGUGUCUGGUGGGUAGUUUGACUGGGGCGGUCUCCUCCUAAAGAGUAACGGAGGAGCACGAAGGUUGGCUAAUCCUGGUCGGACAUCAGGAGGUUAGUGCAAUGGCAUAAGCCAGCUUGACUGCGAGCGUGACGGCGCGAGCAGGUGCGAAAGCAGGUCAUAGUGAUCCGGUGGUUCUGAAUGGAAGGGCCAUCGCUCAACGGAUAAAAGGUACUCCGGGGAUAACAGGCUGAUACCGCCCAAGAGUUCAUAUCGACGGCGGUGUUUGGCACCUCGAUGUCGGCUCAUCACAUCCUGGGGCUGAAGUAGGUCCCAAGGGUAUGGCUGUUCGCCAUUUAAAGUGGUACGCGAGCUGGGUUUAGAACGUCGUGAGACAGUUCGGUCCCUAUCUGCCGUGGGCGCUGGAGAACUGAGGGGGGCUGCUCCUAGUACGAGAGGACCGGAGUGGACGCAUCACUGGUGUUCGGGUUGUCAUGCCAAUGGCACUGCCCGGUAGCUAAAUGCGGAAGAGAUAAGUGCUGAAAGCAUCUAAGCACGAAACUUGCCCCGAGAUGAGUUCUCCCUGACCCUUUAAGGGUCCUGAAGGAACGUUGAAGACGACGACGUUGAUAGGCCGGGUGUGUAAGCGCAGCGAUGCGUUGAGCUAACCGGUACUAAUGAACCGUGAGGCUUAACCUU
rnacentral:rRNA from 1 species